GGGUCAUUGCAAAUUUGUUUACAAUACAUAAAAUAACCAGAUACAAAUGGAUUUUCUUAACGAGUAAAAUAAAUAUUUAUGGCAAGACCCUGUUUGUACAGUACAUGCAAUACAUCUAAAAGUGAAAUAGUGAGCAACGAAUUACAACGAUUAUUUACUGCAUGUACUAGUAUGACACGGGUCAACGGAAUAUGCUAUUGAUAGAUUCUUUCUCUAUGGGUCAUUUAACGUCGCUAAGAAAUGUUCCUUUGGUUCCAUGACAUUGUUUUUAAAAUUGAUCGCAAGCUAUAUAUGUAUAAAAUUCUGCUUAUAUAUGUAUUAAUUUUACAAAUAAAUUUAUAAUACAAU
rnacentral:lncRNA from 1 species